AUGCAGGUCACUCCUCUCCUGACCCGAGUGACCUUCAGGGGCCGCAGCGAAGUGUGCCAGCAGCUCCCGAAACAUGAGGCCCGGAAAGCAUUAUCAGAUGAAGGCAGGGCAGAGGCCAGAGACCCUGGGCCUCAACCCUGGGACCCAGUGGACAGGAAGAGCCCAGUGGACUUCGAGAGGCCACGUCAGGCCAGCUGGGUAGCACUGUCCAGAGAUGGCCUCUCCUGUUGUAUGGACACAUACCUGUGCUCAUAGCUCCAGAGGAUCAACACAAGGGUGGAACUCCUGCGGGGAGCCCCAUGGCUGGACUGGACUCAGUUGUCCGCUAGGACCCGCACCUGAGACGCACUCAUACGUGGGCCCUUACUACCGGCACUUUACCUGACAGUGUUCCCGUGACCUGCUCAUCAGCUGUGAGGACACCAGGGGUGCAACUCUCCCCAAAAUGCCCCUGUUUGAGCACAGUGGGGAUGCCUGCAACCUCCAGAUACGAGCAGAAGAGGACUGCACCUCUGAAUGCACUGAGAACACUUCAGGCCCUGCUUGGCACGUCUGUAGUUCCAGCUACUAGGGAGGCUGAGGGGGGAGGACCACUUGAGCCCAAGAGUUCGAGACCAGCCUCAACAACACAUUGCUAUCCUAUCUCAAAAACCAACAAAGAAAUAAAAACAAAAGCCAAACUUUGAAGGAUCUUGGUACAAUACAGACCCACUGUCAGUCUGGAACAGUUUACGAAAAGCAGGGGACUUAAGUUUAACCCCUCCAGGCAGUGUGAACCAUCACCACCUGCACACCAAGGUUGGAGCCAGCUCCCAGGCUACAGCUGUCAGGGCCUGUGGGACUCCUUGUUAAACAAAAGGAGCAACUGAGGCCUGGAGAAAGGAAGAGGCUUGCCAGUGGUCAGUGCAGAUCCAGUUGUGGAUCUUGGAGUCUGGAACCUGGGUUGUCGAACCAGCUCUGUUUCCCCAUGAUGACAAGUGAGUCCGGCCAUCGCUUUGAUGUCCCAAUCCUGGCCUCUGACAGGAGACAACUGAAAUCCCAGUGUGGGGGUCACAGGGGAGCCAGGCCUUCUGGUACUGCAGGGGCGGCUCCACGGUUAGACUUUCAUUCUCGUGAGGAGAACUGAACGCAGGUUAUGUGUCCAUGCUGGGAGGCUGGUUAAUCAGGUGAGAUUUGGCAGGUGUUAGAGGCUUGAUCGUUAGCCCCUAGGAGCUCCCCCACUUGGCGGGGAAUUUGCUACACAGGAGAAACACGGUGAAUACCUCAGACCAUGCACAGUUCCAGCACGUGGGUAAAAUAACCCAUGCGGUUGCCUACCACUGUGAAGCUCAGAGGGUUAGCGAAGGCUUCCUGGAGGAGGUGGCCUUGACACUGGCACAAAAGAGCAGGCAGGGCUUGAUGGAUGAACGGCUGGAGGCAGGAGAAGGAGCAUCCCCGGCAGCGGGCCUGAGAAAAGGCCCAGGAAGGAGUGGGUGGCCUGCUUCCCUGGCCUGGGGCACAGCUCCUCGGGGCUUGUGUGUGAGUAAAUGAGCUCUUGGGAGAGGCAGGGUGGAGGGUGUGGCCUCACGGGCAGCCUGGGGCCUGGCUUUGUCAGAGGUGGAGAUGAGUCAUAUGCUGAGACAGGCUGUGUGCCCCUGCACCCAGGACCCUGGGACCCGGUAGGCUCAUCCUUAGAGAACGGAGGCAAAAGCCAGGUGAUGACUGGGUCCGAGUGCAGGGAAUUGCAGCGUCAGCUUUGCUGCCCUGGCUGCAAACUGGGGUCCUCCCUGCUCAGGUGAAGACAGGUGGGUGUGGCUGCCCAGCUGAAGAGGCUGCCCCACUGAAGCUCUGCCUGGGUGGCCGUCCUCAUCCUCCCCAGUGCUGUGCUGAGUAGCCUGGAGUUUUUCUUGGAGAGGUCUGGACCAACCUGCUCAUUUUACAGAUGUGGAAACUGGGGCCCAGAGGAAAGCAAGGUUUGUCGCAGGGUUAUAAUGAGCAACCAAGGUCCAGAUUCUGUCCUGUAUGUCUCCUAGAAAACACUGAGGCCCUCAGAAUCUUCUGAACCUCCCCAGCCCUGAAAUCUGACCCAGAUGCCUGCCUGGUGGGUGGCACUAAGGAUGUCCCAUUUGCCGUGGCAGUGGCAUCAGGGAUUAGACCCUGGGCUUACCCCCCCCCCAGAUAUUCAUCCCACUCCGGCAAGAGAAAAUGAGGACAAAUAAAAGAGAGAAAUUCUCCCCUCAGACGAGCAUUAGAUAUCUGAAUGGCUUUCGAAUAAAUAAAAAGUCUCCUCAGAGCCCCUGGCCAGCACUGACAGCAGCUCUAACUCUUCCCAAGACGUGUUUUUCUACCUCCAGGUGGAAGAGGAGGGUGUCAGCGGUGGGCUAAGUCAGGCUCUGACGGAGGCAGCCCUCCAUCACUGCCUAAUGUCCCAUCAGCGUCUGUGGAAUGGCCACGGCAAAUUGCCUCCUCUGAUAGCCACCCUUCCACCCCUCUGGGCCCGUCAGAGGAGGGUGAGGGGCAGGCACUGGCCUCCCCCACCAAGGGUGGGAAGAGCUUCCCUGAAGUUCGCUGCCCGGCCCUGUCCUCUGCCCUCAGUAAUUCUGGAGACAACCAGUCCGUAAUUUGUUCAUUUUUGCCCAGCAAAGAAGAAAGGCAGAGAGGGUGAUGACCUGGCCAGUGAAACCAGCAGUCCAGGGACGCAAGUCCUGAAUGAGCCCGGUGCGUCAGGAAUGAGGGGCCCAUUUCCCAAGAAGGGCUCUCAGGAGCACAUGUUACACCAGUGCCCUUCCCCUGGGCAACACAGGCGGCACGCGAGUGACUGCUCUAAGUACUGGGCAUGAGGUGGCAGGAGAGAGGAAGGCUGGUCCCAAGGAAGUGCCCUCUCCAGUGACAGAUGGGGGAGAGGCCCUCAGAAAAGUCUUUAAAACUUCUGCUAGAAGCAUCUCUUGGCUUGGGGCUGGGGAUUCAGCUCAGCGGCGCAGCGCCUGCCUGGCAAGCGCAAGGUCGUGAGUUUGAUUCCUGGUACCGGAAGAAAAACAAAAAAAC
ensembl:lincRNA